rnacentral:rRNA from 1 species
GGAGGGUGCAAGCGUUAAUCGGAAUUACUGGGCGUAAAGGGUGCGUAGGCGGUUUAUUAAGUCAGAUGUGAAAGCCCCGGGCUUAACCUGGGAACUGCAUUUGAAACUGGUCAACUAGAGUAUGGCAGAGGAAAGUGGAAUUUCUCGUGUAGCAGUGAAAUGCCUAGAUAUCAGAAGGAACACUAAU